rnacentral:rRNA from 1 species
GACGAACGCUGGCGGCGUGCUUAACACAUGCAAGUCGAACGGAAAGGCCCUGCUUUUGUAGGGUGCUCGAGUGCCGAACAGGUGAGUAACACGUGAGUAACCUCCCCUUGACUUUGGGAUAACUUCAUGGAACUGGGGCUAAUACCGCAUAUGAGCUCCUGCUGCAUGGUGUGGGUUUGAAAAUUUCGGCGGUUGGGGAUGGACUCGCGGCUUAUCAGCUUGUUGGUGGGGUAGUGGCUUACCAAGGCGUUGACGGGUAGCCGGCCUGAGAGGGUGACCGGCCACAUUGGGACUGAGAUACGGCCAAGACUCCAACGGGAGGCAGCGGUGGAGGAUAUUGCACAAUGGGCGGAAGCCGGAUGCAGCAACGCCGCGUGCGGGAUGACGGCCUUCGGGUUGUAAACCGCUUUCGCCUGUGACGAAGCGUGAGUGACGGUAAUGGGUAAAGAAGCACCGGCUAACUACGUG